rnacentral:rRNA from 1 species
CCUACGGGUGGCAGCAGUGAGGAAUAUUGGUCAAUGGCCGUAAGGCUGAACCAGCCAAGUCGCGUGAAGGAAGAAGGAUCUAUGGUUUGUAAACUUCUUUUAUAGAGGGAUAAAGGUAUCUACGUGUGGAUAUCUGCAUGUACCCUAUGAAUAAGCAUCGGCUAACUCCGUGCCAGCAGCCGCGGUAAUACGGAGGAUCCGAGCGUUAUCCGGAUUUAUUGGGUUUAAAGGGUGCGUAGAUGGGUUGUUAAGUUAGUUGUGAAAGUUUGCGGCUUAACCGUAAAAUUGCAUUUGAUACUGGCAGUCUUGAGUACAGUUGAGGUAAGCGGAAUUCGUGGUGUAGCGGUGAAAUGCUUAGAUAUCACGAAGAACCCCGAUUGCGAAGGCAGCUUACUAAUCUGUGACUGACAUUGAUGCUCGAAAGUGUGGGUAGCAAACAGGAUUAGAUACCCCGGUAGUC